rnacentral:rRNA from 1 species
CAGUCGCCACGGGAAUACAGAGGGUGCGAGCGUUAAUCGGAUUUACUGGGCGUAAAGCGUGCGUAGGCGGCUUCUUAAGUCGGAUGUGAAAUCCCUGAGCUUAACUUAGGAAUUGCAUUCGAUACUGGGAAGCUAGAGUAUGGGAGAGGAUGGUAGAAUUCCAGGUGUAGCGGUAAAAUGCGUAGAGAUCUGGAGGAAUACCGAUGGCGAAGGCAGCCAUCUGGCCUAAUACUGACGCUGAGGUACGAAAGCAUGGGGAGCAAACAGGAUUAGAUACCCCGGUAGUCCCUGUCUCUUAUAC